GAUGAACGCUGGCGGCGUGCCUAAUACAUGCAAGUCGAGCGAACGGACGAGAAGCUUGCUUCUCUGAUGUUAGCGGCGGACGGGUGAGUAACACGUGGAUAACCUACCUAUAAGACUGGGAUAACUUCGGGAAACCGGAGCUAAUACCGGAUAAUAUUUUGAACCGCAUGGUUCAAAAGUGAAAGACGGUCUUGCUGUCACUUAUAGAUGGAUCCGCGCUGUAUUAGCUAGUUGGUAAGUUAACGGCUUACCAAGGCAACGAUGCAUAGCCGACCUGUGAGGGUGGUCGGCCACACUGGAGGUGGAACGCGGACAAUACUACUAAGGGAGGCACCAGUAGGGAAUCGGCCGCAGUGGGGGGAAGCCUGGCGGAGCAGCGCGACGUGAGUGAUAAAGGUCUUGGGUGCGUAAAACUGUGUUAUUAGUGGAGAACAUAUGUGGAAGUUGCUGAGCACAGCGUGACGGUACCGAGUAAGAAAGCCACGGCUAACUACGUG
rnacentral:rRNA from 1 species